rnacentral:lncRNA from 1 species
UCCUAAGAAUACAAAUACAUCUUGGUUGUAGUAAACUACGUCUAAAUGGAUUGAGGCUAUGGCAAUCAGGAUGAAUGAUCAUAAGGUGGUAAUCAUAUUCAUUCAACAAAACAUCCUAAGCUGAUUCAAUUGCCCAAGAGCCAUUAUUAGUGAUAAGGGUGCACACUUCAUGAAUAGACACUUUGAAAGUUUAAUGAAAAAAUACAUAAUCACUCACAAAGUUGCCACAC